UUGGGAGAUUCUGAUGAGUUGGCUAGUUGGUUCCUCUUCUUAUUUGUUUUGUAAAUAUAUGUGUGUCUUGUCUCUUGGAGUUGUGUUCUAAAAAGAGAAGAAAGAAAAGGGACAAGAUGAGAAAAGAAAAAAAAAAUACAGAAAAAUGAGAAAAAUUAAAAAAAAAUUGAAUAAUGGAGUCAAGAAGAGGAUUGAAUUAGAGGGUUUUGGGUGUGAUUUGACUGUGUUUUCACUUAUUCCCCAUUGCUCCUCUAUUUCUUUUGGUUUGUAGCUUCUCAUCCAUAUUUUAUCCUCCCUUGUCCUUGGCCC
rnacentral:lncRNA from 1 species